rnacentral:rRNA from 1 species
CCUACGGGUGGCAGCAGUGGGGAAUAUUGCACAAUGGGGGAAACCCUGAUGCAGCGACGCCGCGUGAGUGAAGAAGUAUUUCGGUAUGUAAAGCUCUAUCAGCAGGGAAGAAAAUGAAGGUACCUGAUUAAGAAGCCCCGGCUAACUACGUGCCAGCAGCCGCGGUAAUACGUAGGGGGCACGCGUUAUCCGGAUUUACUGGGUGUAAGGGGAGCGUAUACGGCAGCACAAGUCUGGAGGGAAAUGCCGGGGCUUAACCCCGGAACUGCUUUGGAAACUGUGAAGCUAGAGUGCAGGAGAGGUAAGUGGAAUUCCUAGUGUAGCGGUGAAAUGCGUAGAUAUUAGGAGGAACACCAGUGGCGAAGGCGGCUUACUGGACUGUAACUGACGUUGAGGCUCGAAAGCGUGGGAAGCAAACAGGAUUAGAUACCCGGGUAGUC